rnacentral:rRNA from 1 species
AUGGCGGACUGCAUGCAGGAGUGGCCGGAGCCGAUCGUGCGCGUGCAGGCGGUCGCCGAGAGCGGCCUGGCCGCCAUCCCGGGCUGCUACGUCAAGCCGCCGCGCGACCGCCCGGCGCAGCAGCACCUGGCCGCCGCCGCCAACGCCCUCCGCGAGCCCUCCGACGACAGCAUUCCGGUCAUCGACCUCGGCGAGCUCCUCGCGGCCGGCGACGGCCGCAUCGACGGCCUGAUCACCGAGGCCGUGGCGGCGGCGUGCCGGGACUGGGGGUUCUUCCAGGUGGUGAACCACGGGGUGGCGCCGGAGCUGAUGCGCGCGGUGCGGGAGGCCUGGCGCGGCUUCUUCCGGCUGCCCAUCUCGGCCAAGCAGCAGUACGCCAACCAGCCGCGGACGUACGAGGGGUACGGCAGCCGGGUGGGCGUCCAGAAGGGCGGGCCCCUCGACUGGGGGGACUACUACUUCCUCCACCUCGCGCCGGAGGCCGCCAAGAGCCCCGAUAAGUACUGGCCGACCAACCCCGCCAUCUGCAAGGAGGUGUCGGAGGAGUACGGGCGGGAGGUGACGAGGCUGUGCGAGGUGCUGAUGAAGGUGCUGUCGGCGAGCCUGGGGCUGGAGGAGGCGAGGUUCCAGGAGGCGUUCGGCGGGGCCGAGUGCGGCGCGUGCCUGCGCGCCAACUACUACCCGCGGUGCCCGCAGCCGGACCUCACGCUCGGCCUCUCGGCGCACUCCGACCCGGGCGUCCUCACCGUGCUCCUCGCCGACGAGCACGUCCGCGGCCUGCAGGUCCGCCGCGCCGACGGCGAGUGGGUCACCGUGCAGCCCGUCCGCGACGACGCCUUCAUCGUCAACGUCGGCGACCAGAUCCAGAUAUUGAGCAACUCUGUGUACAAGAGCGUGGAGCACCGGGUGAUCGUGAACGCCAAGGAGGAGCGCAUCUCCCUCGCGCUCUUCUACAACCCGAAAGGCGAUGUCCCGAUAGCUCCGGCGGCGGAGCUGGUGAGGCCGGACCGGCCGUCCCUCUACCCCCCGAUGACCUUCGACGAGUACAGGGUGUACAUAAGGAAGAACGGGCCCAGGGGCAAGGCGCAGCUGGAGGGUUUCAAGGGCCAAGCCGUCCCUGGAACUGGAAACAAAUAA